CCGCUUUAAUCAUAGUUAUCUACUUGGGAUAACUGUGGCAAUUCUAGCAGCUAAUACAUGCACGAAAGCUCGGACCUUAGGGAAAGAGCGCAUUUAUUAGACCAAAACCAAUCGAGCUUCGGCUUGUGUUUUGGUGACUCUGAAUAACUAAGUUGAUCGCACAGUCUUAGUACUGGCGACGUAUUUUUCAAAUGUCUGCCUUAUCAACUUUCGAUGGUAGGUUAUACGCCUACCAUGGUUAUAACGGGUAACGGAGAAUAAGGGUUCGACUCCGGAGAGGGAGCCUGAGAAAUGGCUACCACAUCCAAGGAAGGCAGCAGGCGCGCAAAUUACCCAAUCCCAGAAUGGGGAGGUAGUGACGAAAAAUAACGAGACAGUCCACUAUGUGGCCUGUCAUCGGAAUGGGUACGAUUUAAAAACUCUAACGAGGAUCUAUUAGAGGGCAAGUCUGGUGCCAGCAGCCGCGGUAAUUCCAGCUCUAAUAGCGUAUAUUAAAGUUGUUGUGGUUAAAACGCCCGUAGUUGGAUCUUCGGUCUUGAAGCUCGGUAGCUCGUAAGGGUUUAACUGAGUCUUCUGGCCUAAAUUUUAGUAUUCCGCUGAUGCUCUUUACUGAGUGUCUUUGGUUGCUAGAACGUUUACUUUGAAAAAAUUAGAGUGCUAAAAGCAGGCUUUAUGCUUGAAUAAAGUGCAUGGAAUAAUGGAAUAGGACUUUAGUUUUAUUUUGUUGGUUUUCGAAAUUAAAGUAAUGAUUAAGAGGAACAGACGGGGGCAUUCGUAUUGUUGCGUUAGAGGUGAAAUUCUUGGAUCGCAGCAAGACGAACAACUGCGAAAGCAUUUGCCAAGAAUGUUUUCAUUAAUCAAGGACGAUAGUUAGAGGUUCGAAGGCGAUCAAAUACCGCCCAAAAA
rnacentral:rRNA from 1 species